AAAAACAUAGAGUAAAACAUUCAAUCAAAUAUGGGAACUGUUACAUACAGGUGUGAAACAAUAACAAACGUAAAUAAAGCAGUAGAGGAAGUAGUGACUCUGGUUUGGGCAUGAAGAGAGGUAGGCCCAGCAAAUAAUAGAAGUAGAUAGCGGCAGACUUCAGACUUCCAAAUGCACAGGUACAGGACUUAGGCCUGAGUUGUUUGAGAACUUGGCAGGCCCAAUGGUAAUACACGUUCAAAAAGAAAGAAAUAAGGUCAUUAGAUGUGUUGUUUCAAUGUAUAUAGUUAUGCAUGAAACAAACUAUCAUGGGCCUAGGUCGAAUUACACAAUUAAUAAACAAUCUAGAAUAUGAAAAUUAGUGUGGAGUCACAGAUAGUAAAGUAAUUCACAAUGAAGCCUUUUGUUGUCAUUAAACACUAAACCUAAAGGGAGUAAUAAAUGUUAAUAGGUUAGGGGCUAAGGGUAGAAUUUCAUUCAAGGCCAAGGCAUUCUUUGGAUUCCUGACACUUCAAAAUUUCCAAGGGUCUUAAGGUCCAGGACAGUGCAUGUGUCAGGGAGAGUAACCCAACCAAAAACUAAACUCUACUCCCUGUCGUACCUCCUUUUUACCUGAAAGGGGUAUAAGAGAGUUUUUCCAAUUAAAGUGACAUAAAUCGAAUGGGAUUACUUAUUUAAUUUCAGAGUCACCACUUGGAAUAAUUUAUGGUGUCCUAAGUCACCGGUUUAUUUUAAAAUCCCAAAUCGAGGAUAUUGACUCUAUUUUUUUUGGUCCGCGAACACAGAAGGCCGGGUAAGGAAUUCUGUUAACCCGGGAGAAUGUGUUAGGCACUCCCGAGUUCCGCGGUUUUAGCACGGUCGCUCAACUAUUAAUAAUUGACCUAACUAUCUGAUUUAUUACAUGUGUUUAAACCUAUUGUGCAUUUUUAAACUUUAUAACCUCUUUUAUUUAUUUAUGAAAUUAUUUCUGGAACAAGUCAUGAUUGUCGUAUACUUGUCGUUUUGGUACACACUGCAGACCGCGUCACGAGAACCGUACUCACAAUUUACAACAUGUUUAUGUUUUAUUAUUAUUCGAAAUUAUGGUCGGGUCACAUGAAAUGCACACCCGAACUACUAUCGAUUUAAUUAAAUAAAGUGAAAUAAAGGAAUAACAACAAAACUAUCCAAAAUUCAAAUCUUAUUAAUAUUCGGUAUUUGCCAUGAUCAAUUUAUCCUAAGAAAUUCAAGUCCCCCUUUUUUUUAAAUAAAUAAAUAAAAAAAUACCACAACUCCACUGCCCGUCAUUCCCAUUAUUUUAACAACCACACAUGUAAUAAUCAAAAUCAUUUAAUUCAAAAUCAUCACCAGGAAAACAAAAUCGUCAAUCACACAUGUAAUAAUCAAAACCCACAUUUAAUUCAAACUCAAUCAUGAUCUAACACAACCAAUAUAAAAAAAAGAUCUGGAGCUUAAGAGAAAGAGAAAGGAACCUUUAAAUAUCUGAAAUUUGAUUCUUUCACGGAGAACUCGAAAAUGUAAGGACCGCGAAUGAAAACUGAAAUCGGCACCGGAAACCCCAAACUAAACCAAACACCUCCACGGUAAUUCAAUUUGCAACAGAACCAUUUUUAUUUUCUAUUUUUCAUAACUACAAGUUUGAAGUCUACAGCAACAAAAGGAAUCUAUAUCCCUUUUUUUAUGAAUUGAUCUUCAGCACCUUCUGCUACGUUAAUCUCCAAAUCCUUUGUUGAGACUCGUUUCCCUUGUCCGUUCUUAUGUUUGUCUCUGUGUGUGUGUUUCAUU
rnacentral:lncRNA from 1 species